UACGUAGGGGGCUAGCGUUGUCCGGAAUCAUUGGGCGUAAAGCGCGUGUAGGCGGUCCGGUAAGUCCGCUGUGAAAGUCGGGGGCUCAACCCUCGAAAGCCGGUGGAUACUGUCGGGCUCGAGUACGGAAGAGGCGAGUGGAAUUCCUGGUGUAGCGGUGAAAUGCGCAGAUAUCAGGAGGAACACCAAUGGCGAAGGCAGCUCGCUGGGACGUGACUGACGCUGAGACGCGAAAGCGUGGGGAGCAAACAGG
rnacentral:rRNA from 1 species